rnacentral:rRNA from 1 species
GACGAACGCUGGCGGCGUGCUUAACACAUGCAAGUCGAGCGGUAAGGCCCUUUCGGGGGUACACGAGCGGCGAACGGGUGAGUAACACGUGGGUGACCUGCCCUCAGCUCUGGGAUAAGCCUGGGAAACCGGGUCUAAUACUGGAUAUGACUCCAUGACGCAUGUUGUGGGGUGGAAAGCCUUGUGCGGCUGAGGAUGGGCCCGCGGCCUAUCAGCUUGUUGGUGGGGUGANGGCCUACCAAGGCGACGACGGGUAGCCGGCCUGAGAGGGCGACCGGCCACACUGGGACUGAGACACGGCCCAGACUCCUACGGGAGGCAGCAGUGGGGAAUUGUUCGCAAUGGGCGCAAGCCUGACGACGCAACGCCGCGUGGAGGAUGAAGGUCUUCGGAUUGUAAACUCCUGUUGCCCGGGACGAAUAGCUCCGACCUAACCACGUCGGAGUCUGACGGUACCGGGUGAGGAAG